rnacentral:rRNA from 1 species
AGGGAAUCUUCCGCAAUGGGCGAAAGCCUGACGGAGCAACGCCGCGUGAGUGAUGAAGGUCUUCGGAUCGUAAAACUCUGUUAUUAGGGAAGAACAUAUGUGUAAGUAACUGUGCACAUCUUGACGGUACCUAAUCAGAAAGCCACGGCUAACUACGUGCCAGCAGCCGCGGUAAUACGUAGGUGGCAAGCGUUAUCCGGAAUUAUUGGGCGUAAAGCGCGCGUAGGCGGUUUUUUAAGUCUGAUGUGAAAGCCCACGGCUCAACCGUGGAGGGUCAUUGGAAACUGGAAGACUUGAGUGCAGAAGAGGAAAGUGGAAUUCCAUGUGUAGCGGUGAAAUGCGCAGAGAUAUGGAGGAACACCAGUGGCGAAGGCGACUUUCUGGUCUGUAACUGACGCUGAUGUGUGAAAGCGUGGGG